UGGGGUGUAGCUCAGUGUCAGAGUGCUUGCUUAACCAUGCAUGAAGAUCUGGAUUCAAUUCCCAGUACCUCAA
rnacentral:tRNA from 1 species